rnacentral:tRNA from 2 species
GCCGAUGUAGCUCAAUUGGUAGAGCAACGGUAUCGUAAACCGUAGGUUGUGGGUUCAAAUCCCACCAUCGGCUCCA